AUAAUACUCCAUAGAUUAGAGACACUGGAAUGUUCCUUAGUCGAAAGUUCUGGCGCCUUAGGAUGGAUCUGCGGUCGAUUAGGUUGUUGUUGGGGUAACGGCCCAACAAGCCUGUAAUCGAUACGGGUUGUGGGAGCAAGAGCCCGGAGAUGGAAUCUGAGACACGAUUCCAGGCCCUACGGGGCGCAGCAGGCGCGAAAACUUUACAAUGCAGGAAACUGUGAUAAGGGAACUCCGAGUGCCCGUAUACGCGGGCUGUCCAGGUGUUUAAAAAUCAUCUGAAGAAAGGGCCGGGCAAGACCGGUGCCAGCCGCCGCGGUAAUACCGGCGGCUCGAGUGGUGGCCACUAUUAUUGGGCUUAAAGCGUCCGUAGCUGGACCGAUAAGUCUCUUGGGAAAUCCGCCGGCUCAACCGGCGGGCGUCUAAGGGAUACUGUUAGUCUAGGGACCGGGAGAGGUGAGAGGUACUCCGGGGGUAGGAGUGAAAUCCUGUAAUCCCCGGGGGACCACCGAUGGCGAAGGCAUCUCACCAGAACGGCUCCGACAGUGAGGGACGAAAGCUGGGGGAGCGAACCGGAUUAAAUACCCGGGUAGUCCCAGCCGUAAACUAUGCGCGUUAGGUGU
rnacentral:rRNA from 1 species